GAGCAGAGCCUCAGGUCACAGUCAGGACUCAGCGGGUGGCUGAAACCCGCCCAUCACAGCUACGCUCGUGCGGAACACCGUAAGCAAACCCACAAAAUCUGGCGACGUAGCAAACAGGACUUUACCUUAUUGAUCAAAUACUUGGUUGAACUCAUAAACUGAAAACAUCACUUAGAGUAACUUCAAGAAAAACUUUAGCUGUGCUAAAGAGAGUAUCUUCUUUACUAUAAACAGAUCCUAAGUUAGGUAUCCAGAUUAUUGACAAGUUUCAAACUAAAUUUCUGGGUUUGUUUUUUUAAUCUAUGCUAUCGUAUCUGCUUAAAAAUAUAGUGACCUGUUAUUCAUUUUAUCCAGGCUUUUGGAAUAAAGUACAUAUGUGAAAUUUUCAAAUAACCCCAGUUGAUUAUAUAUGGGGUGAAACUAUUUUGUGUGUAAUAAAUAGUAUAAUACCUAUUUUGAUGUACUUCUCACACAUCAGCUUUGAACUAUAAUUUAUAGACAGUACGAUGCAGUCUUCUAAGUACAGUCAGGUGAGUGCUGACACACGUGUACACCUCUGUAACCACGUGCAGACCUCGCAGUCCAAACCGCCAUCCCCGCCUGGCUCCGGAGUCCACGGGCCCGGUUUCCGAGUGCCACCCAGCAUAUAUGCUCUUCUGCCUGCUCAGCCCCCAGCAGCGUUGCGUGAUGCACGCUCGAGGCCGUGGGCGUCAGGAUGGCUCCCCUGGUGCUGACCAGAUUUCAUCAUGGAAGUUCCUACUUUCUCCUCUCACUGGGUGCCGGGCAUUUUUGGUUCCGCAGAUUCUCGGCUGAUGCUUCAAGCUGGGAUGAGCCCUCGGAAGGCUGUGCGCUCAGACAAGUCAUUUCACUCGGGCUCCCGUGUGCCGGCCGCCUUUUCAUCUCCGUAGCAGUAUCUUGAAGAGCAGAAGAUCUGAGUUUGGACGAAGUGCAGUGUAACCUUUGUAUGCGUGGCUCAUUGCUUUUCUGUGUUCGCUGUCAGGUAUUUCCUUCCACAGGAUGCCCUGCGGAUCCAGCAUCCCUUGUUCAGACUCCCCUUCCCCACUGAAGUACGUUCGCACCUCUGCUAAACAUCAGCUGACAGCUCACGGGGGUCCUAUCUCUGGACUGUAGCGUUCCACUUUUCUGUCUGCCCUUCCCCAAACCCACUUUUUCUGAAUUACCAUGGCUCUAUACUAGUUCCUGAAAUCAGGUCGUGGACAUCCUCCAAGUUUGCCCUUUUUCUGAACUGUUUUGGCUAAUCUAGGGCCUUUGUAUUUAUUUCCUAGUAAUUUCAGAAUCUCAGCUGGGAUGUUGACUGGGAUUGUGUUGACUAUACAGAAUAAUUGGAGAAGUGACAUUUUUAUAGUAGUGAGCCUUCCGAUAAAUAACAUGGUCUCUCUCUCCAUAGAUUACAGUCAUCCUUAAUUUUUCUGAGCAAUGUUUUGAGUUUUCAGUAUAGAGGUCUUACAUGUCUUUAAAUUUGUUCAUUUUUUGAUGCUUUAGUAAAUGAAACUUUAAAAUUUCAAUUUCCCAAUGUCUGUUGCUAGUAUGUAGAAGAUAUAAACUGAUUUUUUAAUUACUGACCCUGCGCCCUAUAGUCUUGUUAAAUUCACUAUUAUUUCUAGUAGUUUUCUGGUAGGUUCCUUGGCACUUCCUAAGUUGACGAUCAUCAUUUGUGAAUAAAGACAGCUGUACUUCUUCCCAA